GAUGAACGCUGGCGGCGUGCUUAACACAUGCAAGUCGAACGGUGAAGGCGGAGCUUGCUCUGCUGGAUCAGUGGCGAACGGGUGAGUAACACGUGAGCAAUCUGCCCCUGACUCUGGGAUAAGCGCUGGAAACGGCGUCUAAUACUGGAUACGAGCUGCGAAGGCAUCUUCAGCAGCUGGAAAGAACUUCGGUCAGGGAUGAGCUCGCGGCCUAUCAGCUUGUUGGUGAGGUAACGGCUCACCAAGGCGUCGACGGGUAGCCGGCCUGAGAGGGUGACCGGCCACACUGGGACUGAGACACGGCCCAGACUCCUACGGGAGGCAGCAGUGGGGAAUAUUGCACAAUGGGCGAAAGCCUGAUGCAGCAACGCCGCGUGAGGGACGACGGCCUUCGGGUUGUAAACCUCUUUUAGCAGGGAAGAAGCGAAAGUGACGUUACCUGCAGAAAAAGCGCCGGCUAACUACGUG
rnacentral:rRNA from 1 species